UCUUCAGUCCUUAAUGUUUCCUCCUUACUCUUUCCUUGGUUCAGCCUUCCUUCUUAUGUGUGUGUCUGUGCCCCUUCUAAGCCUGCUCCUCUUUCCCCAUAGUAUGCUUGGACCUUUCUCCUAAUGGGACCCCUCUGGUCCAGAGCCAUGCAUCCAGGAGGAGAGGGUGGUAGAGCCCGGUCCCUGGGAGCAAGGACUUGCCUUCUGGCAGGAGCUCUCCGUGGGUUUUACCACGGCUGCCUGCAGCUGUGUUCCUAUAACUCGCCCCUCUACUUUGGGAUGGGCACCAGGCUCACCGUGACAGAGAACCUGGAAAAGGUCAAACCUCCCACGGUCACAGUGUUUGAACCAUCAGAAGCAGAGACCUCCCGCACCCAGAAGGCCACACUCGUGUGCCUGGCCACGGGCUUCUACCCCGACCACGUGGAGCUGAGCUGGUGGGUGAACGGGAAGGAGGUCCAGAAUGGGGUCAGCACGGACCCGCAGCCCUACAAGGAGCGGCCCAACGAGAAUGGCUCCAGCUACUGUCUGAGCAGCCGGCUGAGGGUGUCCUCUGCCUUCUGGCACAACCCUCGCAACCACUUUCGCUGCCAAGUCCAGUUCCACGGGCUCGGGGACGACGACAAGUGGGAAAACACCAGCCGGCCCAAACCCAUCACCCAGAACAUCAGUGACGAGACCUGGGGCAGAGCAGACUGUGGCUUCACUUCAGUGUCCUAUCAGCAGGGCAUCCUGUCUGCCACCAUCCUCUAUGAGAUCCUGCUGGGGAAGGCCACCCUGUAUGCCGUGCUGGUCAGCGCCCUGGUGCUGAUGGCCAAGGUCAAGAGAAAGGGUUCCUGAAACUAGCUCAGAGGCAGAGCUAGGACCUUCCAGCUUCUAUUGCCCCAGUAUGGAUUCUCCUUUCUCCACUUCAAGCAUCAAGCCGGUGCUUCUCAAGAGCUGUUUUCAUCUCUCUGUUCACCCCAAUAGCUACCCCCUAUGUUCAUGCACACCUGGACGCUCAUGACCCAAAUCUCCCUAAUGCAGAGGGGACCCUAGCCUGACCAAAUUGACUGAAUCAAUAAAAAUGGCCUGUUCUGGCUUGACUCUGC